rnacentral:lncRNA from 1 species
CAGAUCCUAUCUAAAGGGAGAUGAGGUGUUGGGAUGUGAAGGAGGAAGGGAGGAGGACGAUGGAAAGAACAAGGGGCAGCAACGUAGAAUCCAUUAGAACCAUCAUACCACCACACCCUACAUUUUUUUUCAUAUAUUUGUCGCACAAAUAUCAGCCCUCAAUGCCUUCCAGAUAAAAUUUUAUUCUCUUCCUUAUUUGAAUCAAAUUCAAUUAGGAAGAAUGGACCAAAAUG